rnacentral:rRNA from 1 species
UACAGAGGUGGCAAGCGUUGUUCGGAAUUACUGGGCGUAAAGGGCGCGUAGGCGGCCUUGUCAGUCAGACGUGAAAUCCCCAAGGCUUCAACCUGGGAACUAGCGGUCUAUACUACAAGCUGGAGUGCGGGAGAGGGAUGUGGAAUUCCAGGUGUAGCGGUGAAAUGCGUAGAUAUCUGGAAGGAACACCGGUGGCGAAGGCGGCGAUCC